rnacentral:rRNA from 1 species
CCCAGUUCAGGGAGGUAGUGACAAUAAAUACCUUACAGAGGUCUCGUUAACCGAGAUCUCUCAAACGGAAUGAGUACAACGUGAAUCCUUUAACGAGGAUCGACUGGAGGGCAAGCCUGGUGCCAGCAGCCGCGGUAAUUCCAGCUCCAGUAGCGUAUAUUAAAGCUGUUGCGGUUAAAAAGCUCGUAGUUGGAUAUCAGUGCGUGUCCGGUCCGGUAUGCCUGGCGGUGUCGCUCGCGCGUCACUGCUGGGCUCCCAAAUAUCGGCUGGCCGCAUUCAAUCGUGCCGGAUCCGUCGGCGGGCCGUUCUUCGGAGGGGCCUGUUGGCGGCCGGCGACGUUACCUUGAACAAAUUAGAGUGCUCAAAGCAGGCUCUGUAUGCCUGUAUACAUAUUCAUGGAAUUGGAGAAUACGUCCCUGGCUCGAUUUGGUUGGUUUUGAGAGUCGAAGGGAAAUGAUUAAUAGGGACUGACGGAGGCAUUCGUAUUGCGACGCGAGGGGUGAAAUCCUGUGACCGUCGCACGACGAACUACUGCGAAAGCAUUUGCCGAGAAUGUUUUCAUUAGUCAAGAACGAAAGUUAGAGGUUCGAAGGCGAUCAGAUACCGCCCUAGUUCUAACCGUAAACGAUGUCGACCAGCAAUCCGCAACGGUCACUACACGGACUGUGCGGGCAGCUUCCCCGGGGAAACCAGAGUUUUUGGACUCCGGGGGAAGUAUGGUUGCAAAGCUGAAACUUAAAGGAAUUGACGGAAGGGCACCACCAGGAGUGGAGCUUGCGGCUUAAUUUGACUCAACACGGGACAACUCACCAGGCCCGGACACCGUAAGGAUUGACAGACUGAUAGCUCUCUCUUGAUUCAGUGGGUGGUGGUGCAUGGCCGUUCUUAGUUGGUGGAGUGAUUUGUCUGGUUUAUUCCGAUAACGAACGAGACUCUGGCCUAUUAAACUUGACACUGUCAGUCUCUUGUGACUGCGGUGCGCUUCUUAGAGGGAUCAUCGGCGUCCCAGCCGAAGGAAAGGGAGCAAUAACAGGUCUGUGAUGCCCUUAGAUGUUCUGGGCUGCACGCGUGUUACACUGAAGUGGUCAGCGCGCCGUUCAACACCCCUCUCCGUGAGGAGCUUGGGCAAACGUUUGAACCCUUUUCGUGAUGGGAAUUGGGGGUUGCAAUUG